rnacentral:rRNA from 1 species
AACGAACGCUGGCGGCGUGCCUAACACAUGCAAGUCGAGCGCGAAAAGGGCAACCUGAGUAGAGCGGCGCACGGGUGCGUAACACGUGGGUAAUCUGCCUUUGGGUUGGAGAUAACUUUCUGAAAGGAAAGCUAAUAUCCGGUAAGCUUACGGCGGCGUCGGACGCUGUGAGAAAACUGGACCUCUAUUUAUAAGUUUAGGCCCAGAGAUGAGCCCGCGGCCCAUCAGCUAGUUGGCGGGGUAACGGCCCACCAAGGCAACGAAGGGUAGCUGGUCGGAGAGGACGAUCAGCCGCACUAGAGCUGAGACACGGUCCAGACUCCUACGGGAGGCAGCAGUGGGUAAUUUUCCACAAUGGGCGAAAGCCUGAGGGAGAAACGCCGCGUGUGUUAUGAAGGUCUUCGGAUCGUAAAGCACUUUCGACCGGGACGAAAACCCGUUUGCUAACAUCCAACGGACUGACGGUACCGGGAGAAGAAGCACCGGCUAACUCUGUGCCAGCCGCCGCGGUAAAAC